rnacentral:rRNA from 1 species
AUUGAACGCUGGCGGCAGGCCUAACACAUGCAAGUCGAGCGGCAGCGACUUAACUGAACCUUCGGGGAACGUUAAGGGCGGCGAGCGGCGGACGGGUGAGUAAUGCCUGGGAAUAUGCCCUGAUGUGGGGGAUAACUAUUGGAAACGAUAGCUAAUACCGCAUAAUCUCUUCGGAGCAAAGAGGGGGACCUUCGGGCCUCUCGCGUCAGGAUUAGCCCAGGUGGGAUUAGCUUGUUGGUGAGGUAAUGGCUCACCAAGGCAACGAUCCCUAGCUGGUCUGAGAGGAUGAUCAGCCACACUGGAACUGAGACACGGUCCAGACUCCUACGGGAGGCAGCAGUGGGGAAUAUUGCACAAUGGGGGAAACCCUGAUGCAGCCAUGCCGCGUGUGUGAAGAAGGCCUUCGGGUUGUAAAGCACUUUCAGUAGGGAGGAAGGUAGUGUAGUUAACACCUGCAUUAUUUGACGUUACCUACAGAAGAAGCACCGGCUAACUCCGUGCCAGCAGCCGCGGUAAUACGGAGGGUGCGAGCGUUAAUCGGAAUUACUGGGCGUAAAGCGCAUGCAGGCGGCCUGUUAAGUCAGAUGUGAAAGCCCGGGGCUUAACCUCGGAAUUGCAUUUGAAACUGGCAGGCUAGAGUCUUGUAGAGGGGGGUAGAAUUUCAGGUGUAGCGGUGAAAUGCGUAGAGAUCUGAAGGAAUACCAGUGGCGAAGGCGGCCCCCUGGACAUAGACUGACGCUCAGAUGCGAAAGCGUGGGGAGCAAACAGG